rnacentral:rRNA from 1 species
GAUGAACGCUGACAGAAUGCUUAACACAUGCAAGUCGAUUCAAGUUACCUUCGGGUAAUGAGGAUGGCGGACGGGUGAGUAACGCGUAAGGAACUUGCCUCUUGGUCUGGGACAACUGUUGGAAACGACAGCUAAUACCGGAUAUUAUGAGAUUCUCGCAUGGGAAACUUAUGAAAGCUAUAUGCGCCAAGAGAGAGCCUUGCGUUCCAUUAGCUAGUUGGUGGGGUAACGGCCCACCAAGGCGACGAUGGAUAGCCGGCCUGAGAGGGUGAACGGCCACAAGGGGACUGAGACACGGCCCUUACUCCUACGGGAGGCAGCAGUGGGGAAUAUUGGACAAUGGGCCACAAGCCUGAUCCAGCAAUUCUGUGUGCACGAUGAAGGUCUUCGGAUUGUAAAGUGCUUUCAGUUGGGAAGAAGAAAGUGACGGUACCAACAGAAGAAGCGACGGCUAAAUACGUGCCAGCAGCCGCGGUAAUACGUAUGUCGCAAGCGUUAUCCGGAUUUAUUGGGCGUAAAGCGCGUCUAGGCGGAAAAAUAAGUCUGAUGUUAAAAUGCGGGGCUCAACUCCGUAUUGCGUUGGAAACUGUUUUUCUAGAGUACUGGAGAGGUGGGCGGAACUACAAGUGUAGAGGUGAAAUUCGUAGAUAUUUGUAGGAAUGCCGAUGGAGAAGUCAGCUCACUGGACAGANACUGACGCUNAAGCGCGAAAGCGUGGGGAGCAAACAGGAUUAGAUACCCUGGNAGUCCACG